CGCCGCCAUGAUGGCGCGGGGCGGGUGCGGCUGCGGGUGGCUCUGGGUGGACGCCUGAACACCUAACCUGUGACCCAGCGUAACUGGAGAAACAGAGUAUGUGUUCAGUGUGCUAUGGCUGUUUAGAUGCGAGGAACCAGGACGUGCGGUGUCAGGAAGUUACAGUAACGUCUGUACCUGGGUAAAUAUCUAGACAGGAGCUGGAGGAACAGGGGAGCCUGCCUGAUAGCUGAAGAAAGCAGUCUCUGACAAAGAGUGUCUAAUCAUCUGAGCAUCCCUGUGGUACCCUGCCUCACCCAGUGCUGGAACUUAUUCUCUGAUGGUUUGGUUUUAGCACAGAGCUUGCUGCUGAAGGCUCUCAAAUCUUGCUGCCCUGCCGGCUCCUGACACCGCCGGUGGGGGUGGAUUUUGCAUUUAUUACUUCACAGUGACACCUGCUGGAAAAGACCCCUUCCUUAGGCAGAAGUCUGUGCUGGAGCUAUUAAUGCUGAGCUCUGACUGCUGACCCAAGGUGUAACCCUGUCAGACAUCAUUUCCUCAAGCUAGCGGAGACAAGGACCUCCUGGGGAAACCCCCAAAGAUAUUUGUGUUUCUAUAGUUAACUAUUUGACAUUAAAAACAAGUUGGAAGUAUAUGUUGGACAGUGAAAAAUAAACUGAAUGCUGAAUAAUCAUUGCUUCUGCUGUGGGAGCAGUAGUUCUGCAGAACAAAAAGUAAUGCUAUUACUUUUAGUUAGGACUGUUCUGUUAGUUCAGCAGGAAGACUGAACUUAGACUGCUUGUUCAAGUUUUGCUCUUGUAACAGGAAUGUCAUUCAGGUUUUUCCUUUGGUACGUGUACUCUCCUUUUCAUAGGUUUAUGUAUACAUACAUGUUUUUAUAUAUAUUUUACAGUUUAACCUCUCUACCUCUGAAAAAAGAUACUACUCUAGCCCUCCAGAUUUUAGAAUUAAAAUGAUGGGGAAUGAUAUAAGAAACAAGCUUCUCAUUACUCUGAUUAUUUUUCCCGCUUGGACUUUCCUUCCCUCAGACCAAUUGUCACUCCUCUCAUGCACAGAUGAAUAAAAUUCUCUCUGGCACAGUUUUUUUUCCACAUAGAAAAUGAAUAUGACCUCAUCUUAUGUACCUCACAGAAUGUUUUAAGGUAUAAUACAUGCAUGUUUUCAGAGAGUACUGAAGAUGAAAAGCAAUAUAUGAUAAAUAUAAAUCUACUUUGAUCAUAAAGGGCACAUUACUAUUUUUCCUCAUCUCUCUAGAAAGCAGUAAUGCCAUCCUCUUCUAAACAUCCCUCAAAUAUAUGUACAA